UACGUAGGGUGCGAGCGUUAAUCGGAAUUACUGGGCGUAAAGCGUGCGCAGGCGGUUUUGCAAGCCGGAUGUGAAAUCCCCGGGCUCAACCUGGGAAUGGCAUUCGGGACUGCAAGGCUGGAGUGCGGCAGAGGAGACUGGAAUUCCUGGUGUAGCAGUGAAAUGCGUAGAUAUCAGGAGGAAUACCGAUGGCGAAGGCAGGUCUCUGGGCUGACACUGACGCUCAUACACGAAAGCGUGGGGAGCAAACAGG
rnacentral:rRNA from 1 species